CGCACAUUGCGCCCGCCAGUAUUCUGGCGGGCAUGCCUGUUCGAGCGUCAUUUCAACCCUCAGGCCCCCAGUGCCUGGCGUUGGGGAUCGGCGCGGGCGUGCACCCCCCAGGGGGCGCACCGCCUGCCGGCCCCGAAAUUCAGUGGCGGUCUCGCUGUAGUCCCCCUCUGCGCAGUAGCACAACUCGCAUUGGAGCUCGGCGGUGGCCACGCCGUAAAACACCCCACCUCUGAAAGUUGACCUCGGAUCAGGUAGGAAUACCCGCUGAACUUAA
rnacentral:misc_RNA from 1 species